AGAGUUUGAUCCUGGCUCAGGACGAACGCUGGCGGCGUGCUUAACACAUGCAAGUCGAACGAAGCUUGAUUACGGAUUCUUCGGAUGAAGUAUGAUAUGACUGAGUGGCGGACGGGUGAGUAACGCGUGAGUAACCUGCCCUUCAGAGGGGGAUAGCGUUUGGAAACGAACGGUAAUACCGCAUAAUGUAUUUUGACCGCAUGAUCGAAAUACCAAAGAUUUAUCGCUGAAGGAUGGACUCGCGUCUGAUUAGGUAGUUGGUGGGGUAACGGCCUACCAAGCCGACGAUCAGUAGCCGGACUGAGAGGUUGAUCGGCCACAUUGGGACUGAGACACGGCCCAGACUCCUACGGGAGGCAGCAGUGGGGAAUAUUGCACAAUGGGCGCAAGCCUGAUGCAGCAACGCCGCGUGAAGGAAGACGGUUUUCGGAUUGUAAACUUCUGUUCUUAGUGAAGAAUAAUGACGGUAGCUAAGGAGCAAGCCACGGCUAACUACGUGCCAGCAGCCGCGGUAAUACGUAGGUGGCAAGCGUUAUCCGGAAUUACUGGGUGUAAAGGGAGCGCAGGCGGGAUAGCAAGUCAGCUGUGAAAACUAUGGGCUCAACCCAUAAACUGCAGUUGAAACUGUUAUUCUUGAGUGGAGUAGAGGCAAGCGGAAUUCCGAGUGUAGCGGUGAAAUGCGUAGAUAUUCGGAGGAACACCAGUGGCGAAGGCGGCUUGCUGGGCUCUAACUGACGCUGAGGCUCGAAAGUGUGGGGAGCAAACAGGAUUAGAUACCCUGGUAGUCCACACUGUAAACGAUGAUUGCUAGGUGUGGGGGGUCUGACCCCCUCCGUGCCGGAGUUAACACAAUAAGUAAUCCACCUGGGGAGUACGACCGCAAGGUUGAAACUCAAAGGAAUUGACGGGGGCCCGCACAAGCAGUGGAUUAUGUGGUUUAAUUCGAAGCAACGCGAAGAACCUUACCAGGUCUUGACAUCCGACUAACGAGAUAGAGAUAUGUCAGGUGCCCUUCGGGGAAAGUCGAGACAGGUGGUGCAUGGUUGUCGUCAGCUCGUGUCGUGAGAUGUUGGGUUAAGUC
rnacentral:rRNA from 1 species